UCGACCUGAGGUCAGGCAAGAACACCCGCUGAACUU
rnacentral:rRNA from 2 species